rnacentral:rRNA from 1 species
AUUGAACGCUGGCGGCAUGCCUAACACAUGCAAGUCGAGCGGCGCGGCGAACGGGUGAGUGAUGCCUAGUAAUCUGCCUGUGCGUGAUGGAUAACGUCGAGAAACGUACCCUAAUGCAGCAGACUAUCAGAUCCGCCUAGGUCGGAUUAGCUAGGUGGUGGGGUAAAGGCCUACCAAGGCGACGAUCCAUAACUGGUCUGAGAGGAUGAUCAGCCACACUGGAACUGAGACACGGCCCAGACUCCUACGGGAGGCAGCAGUGGGGAAUAGUGGACAAUGGGCGAAAGCCUGAUCCAGCCAUGCCGCGUGUGUGAAGAAGGUCUUCGGAUUGUAAAGCACUGUAAGUUGGGAGGCGUUACCAACAGAAUAAGCACCGGCUAACUUCGUGCCAGCAGCCGCGGUAAUAC